rnacentral:rRNA from 1 species
UACGUAGGGUGCGAGCGUUGUCCGGAAUUAUUGGGCGUAAAGGGCUCGUAGGCGGUUUGUCGCGUCGGGAGUGAAAACACCGGGCUUAACUCGGUGCUUGCUUUCGAUACGGGCAGACUAGAGGCAUGCAAGGGAGAACGGAAUUCCUGGUGUAGCGGUGAAAUGCGCAGAUAUCAGGAGGAACACCGGUGGCGAAGGCGGUUCUCUGGGCAUGUCCUGACGCUGAGACGCGAAAGCGUGGGGAGCAAACAGG